rnacentral:rRNA from 1 species
UACGUAGGGAGCAAGCGUUGUCCGGAAUCAUUGGGCGUAAAGCGCGCGUAGGCGGCCCCGUAAGUCCGCUGUGAAAGUCAAAGGCUCAACCUUUGAAAGCCGGUGGAUACUGUGGGGCUAGAGUACGGAAGAGGCGAGUGGAAUUCCUGGUGUAGCGGUGGAAUGCGCAGAUAUCAGGAGGAACACCAAUAGCGAAGGCAGCUCGCUGGGACGUUACUGACGCUGAGGUGCGAAAGCGUGGGGAGCAAACAGG